rnacentral:rRNA from 1 species
UACAGAGGUCCCAAGCGUUGUUCGGAUUCACUGGGCGUAAAGGGUGCGUAGGUGGCGUGGAAAGUCAGAUGUGAAAUCCGGGGGCUCAACCUCCGAAUAGCAUCCGAUACUCCCAUGCUAGAGAACUGGAGGGGGAUCUGGAAUUCUCGGUGUAGCAGUGAAAUGCGUAGAUAUCGAGAGGAACACGAAGGGCGAAGGCAAGACUCUGGACAAGUGCUGACGCUCAUGCACGAAGGCUAGGGUAGCGAACGGG